AUUGAACGCUGGCGGCAGGCCUAACNCAUGCAAGUCGAGCGGAUGAGUGGAGCUUGCUCCAUGAUUCAGCGGCGGACGGGUGAGUAAUGCCUAGGAAUCUGCCUGGUAGUGGGGGACAACGUUUCGAAAGGAACGCUAAUACCGCAUACGUCCUACGGGAGAAAGCAGGGGACCUUCGGGCCUUGCGCUAUCAGAUGAGCCUAGGUCGGAUUAGCUAGUAGGUGAGGUAAUGGCUCACCUAGGCGACGAUCCGUAACUGGGUCUGAGAGGAUGAUCAGUCACACUGGAACUGAGACACGGUCCAGACUCCUACGGGAGGCAGCAGUGGGGAAUAUUGGACAAUGGGCGAAAGCCUGAUCCAGCCAUGCCGCGUGUGUGAAGAAGGUCUUCGGAUUGUAAAGCACUUUAAGUUGGGAGGAAGGGCAGUAAGUUAAUACCUUGCUGUUUUGACGUUACCAACAGAAUAAGCACCGGCUAACUUCGUG
rnacentral:rRNA from 1 species